AUUGAACGCUGGCGGCAUGCCUUACACAUGCAAGUCGAACGGUAACGGGCCUUCGGGUGCCGACGAGUGGCGAACGGGUGAGUAAUGUAUCGGAACGUAUCUCUCAGUGGGGGAUAACGUAGCGAAAAUUACGCUAAUACCGCAUAUUCUGUGAGCGGGAAAGAGGGGGAUCGCGAGACCUUGCGCUGAUUGAGCGGCCGAUAUCAGAUUAGCUAGUUGGUGAGGUAAAGGCUCACCAAGGCGACGAUCUGUAGCGGGUCUGAGAGGAUGAUCCGCCACACUGGAACUGAGACACGGUCCAGACUCCUACGGGAGGCAGCAGUGGGGAAUUUUGGACAAUGGGGGAAACCCUGAUCCAGCCAUGCCGCGUGAGUGAAGAAGGCCUUCGGGUUGUAAAGCUCUUUCGGCCGGGAAGAAAUCGUAUCAGCUAAUACCUGGUGCGGAUGACGGUACCGGCAUAAGAAGCACCGGCUAACUACGUGCCAGCCGCCGCUGUAAAAC
rnacentral:rRNA from 1 species